UAAGAUUUGUAAAACCUUUAUUCUAUUUCGUGCAAAUGGAAAUAGCUUCUUUUACAGCAUUUCUCAUAUCUCCACAACAUCAGACCAGUCCAGAUCAGAAACCACGGUACUUAGAGUUGUCAAAUCUGAACUAGAUUAUCCCAGAGAAGUUUCAGAUUAGUGAAACCCAUUCUCUAAAAAAGGGAGGUUCAAACUUCAGACAAGGUUAUGUCAGUGCAUACUGAGAAUGAUGCAUACACACACAAUAAGAGCUAAUGCAAUUAACAGAUAUAGUACUAUGAACAGUAAUGAUCAAGAUAGCUUUAAGUAAUGGAACAUUUAUGGAAGACAUUUAAACCAUUGAACACUAAAAGCAUACACUAUUCAAAAGUAAAACUAUGUUCAGUGUGACAGAGAUACCACUUAAGCUGGCUGAGAGAUAUAGCAUGCUUGUCCUAAAUACAUUUUAAUGGUGUGUUAUUUCUGCUUGGUGAAGGACUUUGUAGACUUUCUCUUGUUACACCAUAACCCUGACCCAUAACUCUUAUCAACAAAAUGUUGGAUUAUCAUUAAUCAGUAGUUGGACAUUUGAUUUCCCAGCUUCUUCAAAUAAAGAUUGCAGGCUGUGCGUUUUUCCCAAAACUGGCAUUUCUGGUCUUGCACAAUGUCAGAUAUGUAUAAAAAGGGAGAGGCAACAGAGAAAGACUGCAUAUGGGUCUGAGAUUCAAAUCCACAAGGAUGAAGAAGAUUGCUGUUCUAAUUCUUGCAUUCAGCUGCUGUCUGUGUGAAGUGCAAGUUAAUGAAAACGAUGACAAAGUCCAUCAGUGUGGAGGAUCAGCCAGUUGCAGUGAAAUCUCCUCCCUCACUUCCAUAAGCAAAAACUUGGGAGCAGUGGAGGAGAAAAUCACAAACAUGGCAGAGAAAAUAACACUCCUGGAGACCAAGUUGCAAACCACUGAAAAAGAAGUCCUAGGAUCGGCAGAGCCUUAUUGGAGGCAAGCCUCAGGUGGCCUUUUCUGCGGCUCUCAGGGAUUCUGGCAGUGGAAACAUUGGACCUUUCACCACUGCUACUGCACUGCAAUACAAGAAGGUCUUCUCAAACACUGGCAAUAGCUACAACCC